UUCCAGCCCUUCCUGAAUGAGAAUGCAUUUGGGCUCUCUGCCCAGUUCUGAUCUGUAAGCUGCCUCCUCAGUUCGUCAACUCCAUGUAGCCCGGAUCCUACCCCACCUUCCAGGCCUUCUACUCACCCCUGGGGGAAAAUGAGAGAAACUGCUGAAGGGGACAAAAAUUACUAUCUUCAUUUCACGGAUGGAAACUUCCCUGGUGGCUCAGAUGGUAAAGCAUCUGUCUACAAUGCAGGAGACCCCGGUUCAAUCCCUGGGUCAGGAAGAUCUCCUGGAGAAGGAAAUGGCAACCCGUUCCAGUAUUCUUGCCUGGAAAAUCCGAUGGACGGAGGAGCCUGGUAGGCUAUAGUCCAUGGGGUUGCAAAGAGUCGGACAUGACUGAGCGACUUUGCUUUAAGAGAGGUUAAAUGACUUCUUGAAAGCCCCACUCUUUCUACGUGGCAGAGCCCGGAUUAGAACCUGGGUGUUCUAACUUUAAAUUCAGAGAUCUUGCAGCCCUACAGUGGUGGUUUUUAAACCGUGUGCACAACAAAACAUCCUGGGAGAGGAAGGGGACUCUGGCAUCUCCAACCCCCACUCAGAUGGGAGCAACUCCAAUUUCAUUUGCUUUCUCUGUUGGUGUUCCAGUCAAGAUUUUGUGUAUUUAAAAAGGGGGUUUGGUUUAGGUUGGAAAUUCACUGAGCUCUGCCAUGAUCCUUCCAGUGGGGGCUCAGCUGCAAGACAAGGAGCCCAUGUAGAAGACAUACAAGAAAGGGAGGGAUGAAGAUAGCAGCUCAAGAGGCAGACUCCCACAUGUGCAUGCCCAGCACCUCAAGACUUCCCUUAGGGAGGGAGACAAACAGCUGAAGCCUGUCGAUCCGGGGAAGUAUUUCCUGGCUCCACAUCAUGGGGUGCUGCCUGGUCAGCUUUGUGGGAUCUUGUCCAGACAAAUCUAAUGCCCUCAGCAGACUCUGAGUCACAAACCAUCCAAGCUCAAUCAGCUAUUGCAGCCUCAUGCCUUGUAAGCAUGUUUGCAGCCUCCUCCAAUGCCCAGCCUCCAGUGAAGCACCUGCUUAUCCUGAGGGUUGGCUUAUGGCUGAGGCAUCACCUGUUCAUGGGGUGAGCCCACUCAGGGUGUCACCCCUACACCUGAGCCCUGAGGCUUCCCAGCCAUUUGUCCCUUUUCUCUGAGCUCUUCUUCGAUAAGACUGUCUGCUCUCUCACUGUGCUUCUGAUCUUUCUAGGAAUCUGCAUUACAACCUUCUGGUUUAAGCUUCUCUAAAUAGGAGCUGUUUAGAAACAGCCUGCUUCUCUCCCCAUUGUCCCAGCUGGCAAGUAUUUUGGCUUACCAAGGGCCUCUUGG
ensembl:lncRNA